rnacentral:lncRNA from 1 species
AGAGAGUUGAAAGGAUAUGGCUUUUUAGCAAGGAGAAAACUGAAUGGGGCUUCAAACAGAUAUUCCUGAAGAAAGGUAGCUGGACAAGACUUUAGAAGGAAAGAGAAUACAGCUGUGAGAACUCCCCUCUUCACCUUGGCUGAGGAACUCUCCAAGAGAGCAGAUGGUUCUGAGUUUCAAGCCAUGAAUCACUGUCAGGGGAUCUCCUCAAGCUGCCACAAGCAAGAAGAAUUGACAAUUCUCAAUGGGUAAUAUUUUUAGUACUAUUGGUGUCAGUCAUGUCCAUGCCCUUGCUGCUGGGAUCAGGCUUAAUAUUAAUAAGGCUGUAACUUGGAAACAACAUAGCAAGAGUCAGCAAAGUAUUUCUAUUUAUUAUCUAAUGGAUGUUGCAGGACCUUAGCAUUCCUCUCUUUAGAGUUCGUCAGUGAAGAGAGUAAGAGAUCAUUUCUUUAUUUUUAUCUGAUUUCAAAGCAGACUGACGGGAAAAUAUUUGCUAUGUUUUGGUGCCUCAAUUAGCUAAUUUUUGAAAGCCAUUGUUACUAAUAUUAUUGGUUGGUUGUAACGUGUGAUCUAAAUCUGUUACUUUCUUAUAUGUAGUUAGAUAAGUGAGAGUUUGAUUUUGACCUGGAUUAUAAUAUUUUUCAUUCUAAUGCUGUGGUUUUUAUAGGCAUAAAUGCUAUUUGGAGGAACCGUGCUGAACUAAUUUGACUCUAUUAGGAAAUCUUGGAUAAGUGGAUUCUUCAUCUAAGGUAGAACUAAAUCAAAUUGGCUCUCUCUGUUAAAACUCUAAUAUACUUUUUUGGUAUUGAUUAGACUAUAUUUCAGUUACAUUAGGUACUUUAGCUAAAGUCACUUUGGGUAGCUUUAGCUGGAAUUUUACCUGGAAUAUCUUGGCUACUUUUUGUAGAAUAUAAUGAUUAGAAUAUGCUUCAGUGAUCAUUUUUUAACAUUUUCAAUUGCAAAAUAUCUUGGGCCAUUAGGUUUCAAAACCAGAAAUCUAGUAGAGCACAAAAGUGGUCUGAUGCAAAGGGUUUUUCAUAUUGUGGAAAAGUUAAUAUGAGAUGGAUUCCAAGUAUCUGCAGUGAAAGAGAGAAGGGCUGUUUCAGAAAGCACACUCACUUUUCACUUCUGCAGAAUUUAGUCUGGGAAGCAGCUUCAUGAUGAGUUCUUUGGAGAGCAUUACUUUUUCUGACAUGAAAGGUGGCAUGGUCAAGUGCAGAAAGCUGGGGAUUUGAGUUGGCCAGAUCUUUAAGCCAUGCGACCAGUUAUGAAUGUCUUUGAAGCACUUUCCUUAACUAUAAAGGGGAGAGAAUACUAUGUACAUCAGUAGUGUGCAGUUUUAUUGUGAGGAAGAAAACCAGGAAGCUGGAGUCCUUGGAUUCUAUGUGGCAUGUGGUGGGCACUCAAUAAUAGUAGCUAUCGUUGGUGUUUCCUCAUUGUAGUGAUGGCUAACUCAACCUUUGUCAUUUAAAUACCUAUAUAAUGUGCUAAAGAGAAAAAAGUGCAAAGUUAAGCAUAUGAAAGGUGAAAUCAAAGCAGAAAAAUAUCAGCAUUGGAUGAAGUAUUUAGAAAACAGGUUUCUUGACCUGGCUCUAUCACUAUUGAAUAUCAUUACCCAUAGAAGCCUCACUAAUCCUUUCUGUACCUCAGUGUAAUGUGUACAGUGAGGAAACAGAAUUAGAUUAGUUAUCAGUACUGUGCUCUGAAAACACUGAUAUUGAAAAUUAUUCCUCAAAUGAAAGUUCCAUGUUAAAAUAAAUUUAGAAAAAAAUAUUGGAUAUAUUAGAAUCCUCUUGGAAAUUUACCUUGCUCAUUAGCAUAUUAAAACUAGUAUAAUAAGUAUGGCUUUGAUAAAGAAUUAUGUUGAUCUUGGUAUAACUCAAUUUCCCACAUCUGACAAGGGUAGCCCUUAUUCAUGGAAAAAAAAUCUUAUGGAGCCCUUUCACAUAACUUAAUUUGGAAGGUGUAUGCAGGAUAUUUUCUAUGGUCCCUUGUAAUUCUAAUAUUUUGCGACUCUGUAGCUGAGUAACGUCCCUGAAGAAACAUAUUGGUAAUGGUUUAGAAAGAGUAUGACUUUUAAAAUUUCAUUUUAGGUGUUCCCACUGUGGCUCAGCAGGUUAAGAACCCGACAUAGUCUCCAAGAGGAUGCAGUUUCAAUCCCUGGCCUUGCUCUGUGGGUUAAGGAUCCAGCAUUGCCAUGAGCUGCAGCCUAGGUCACAGAUGCAGCUCAGGUCCAGUGGUGCCGUGGCUGUGGCAAAGACCUCAGCUGCAGUUCCAAUUCUACUCCUAACCUGGAAACUUCCACAUGCUGUAGGUAUGGCUGUAAAACAGAAAAAAAUAAAUACUUUAUAUUGAAAAAUAAUUUAUUAUUAUACCAAGAGAGGAAAUCACCUUGUAAAUUAAGGCUAGCUUUAUGAGUGAAAUUUUAAGUUUUUGCAUAGAUGACAUGGGUUUACAGAGAAGAGGAACUGUCCAUUAAUGUUUUAAUUUUCCUUCAGUGUGUGAAUUAAAUUGACCUCAAUAGCACUUGCCAAUUGAUUGCACAUUCUCUACUCUUACAGAAGGUAUUUAUUAAAAAUAUGUAGACAUAAAAUCCCCCACAGUAACUUAGUAUAUAUGGACAUAAAACAUAUGUACAUACUACUGCUAGAGGGUUUAAAUUUAUUCAUUGCGAUGGCACUAUUGAGUUUUCCUAAUUUAUACCACAUGUUCCUCCUUUAUUUAGCCUUUAAUUCUGUAAAGAGUGUGGGGAUAUAAAUUACACAGAGGAUGUGAAAUAUAAACCAUUCCAAUCAUGGGUGUGUGGCAUCUUCAAUUUGCUAGAAUAAUUUUCAUCUGUCAGUUUUUCAAAUAAUGGUAGGAAUCUCUCACUGAGCCUACAGAUUCAGUGCGUUUGUGGACAAAAUUUUUAUGUGGUCUCUCGCUGCUUCUUCCAGAAUGAGGAUGCUUCUGGGAGGAAGAUAGGAGUUAUCACUGCCAAGAGAGUCGCAGGUUUCCCACAGAUUCUAUGGCACUUGGAAUUCAGAGCCUGGGUGUGCAGUUAUUUCCUCCUGAUCACAUAGGGCAUCUGAAGGAAGUCAUAACUACUGCAGGCUGUGGGUUGCCUUCCUGUGCAUAAUAAUGGCUGCCCUUCCCCCACAGCCCCAGUAGUCUUGGUAUAAUAGGGAAAAGGGGGAGUGAACAGUUGGAGACUGCUCUCUGUGGCUCCCCAUUCUCAUCUCCUUCAUCUAAUCAGUUAUUCAUCUCCUCCCAUUACACCUCUUAACCAUCUUUCAAAUGUUUCCUUGGGCUUGACUCUUGGCUCUACCAGCUACUAGCUGUGUGACUUUGGUCAGUUUUCUUAACUUCCUCCAUUGUGUUUCCUCAUCUACAAAACUCUCGUGUUGAAGAUGUAGACUGUAGGGGGAGAGCAGUGUAGUGGAUGAGAAGAAUUCAGUGAGAUCAUUCAUUGGAAUGCUUAGUGUGGAGUUUGGCAUAUAAAGAAUAUUCAGGAGAUACUUGCCAUCUUUAUUGUUUUUAUAGUUAGUUUAGAUUUUCGCUAUAUUUUGUACUUAUUUGUUGUUGUUUUUGGUCACACCCAUGGCAUGUAGAAGUUCUUGGGCCAGGGAUUGAAGCUGAGCCACAGCAGUGACAAUGCUAAAUCUUUAACUGAUAGGUCACCAGGAAACUCCAUAUAUUGUUUCUUAACUCAUCUCUCUGGCUCAUAAUCUCUUCUUCAUCUUUCCUAUUGCAUCUUCAUUAAACUUCAAGAAUGAUCUUUUAAAAUUGCAAAUCAAGUUGUCUAAGAAGUCUGCUGCUUGAAACUCUGUAAUGGUUCCCAAUUCCUUGUAGGAUGGAGUUCAAAUCCUUUAGCAUGACAGACUUUGUCUUCUGGGACUCCUUGUCCAACACCAAGAUUCAGCUAAUCCACUUGUAGGUGCAUUUUAAAAUACUUUCAUAAUUUUGCACAUACAUUUACCUCUGUCUUGAAUGUGUAAGUAACUUGCUCUAUGUCUUCCCUUCACAUGGCCACAUUCUGUCUUUCAAGACCCAGCUAUUGCAUCACUGAGGAGGAUUCAUUCUCCCUCUGUGCCAUGACUUUACUUCUUUCCAUUGCAACGCCUCCUGGGCUGAAUCACAGUUAUAUGGGUUCAUCUGCUUCCUUCUCUCCUGUGCUCUUGGAGGAAAAGCAAUGAUUAUAAUUCUCCCCUCCGUCCCAGUAUCAGAGAUGAUAGUUGGUAGAUGUUUGUUGAAUGACUGAAUGAAUGAGAGUUUUAUGGAACACUAUGUGCUUUCCCUCCUAAUCUCCAAAACAACAUUAAUGCACCCAAAGCACUUCACAUUUGGCAGACAGUAGAUUCUCAGUAAAUAAAUUUGACUUAACUAAUUUUUAUACGCCUACUUAUGGUCUGUAAAGUAGAAGGAAAUUAGAAUCACUUGACCAAAAGUGUAAGAUGUGGUAAUAUUACUGAGUUAAAUACAAAAAGCUUGAAAAUAGGAUAAAGUCACUUUCUGCUAUCAUUUGAGGUCUAUUUUCCUACAUUUUCUCUGAUUUUUUUUAGAUAUCAUAAUUUAAGGGUCAUAAUUCAUAAUUACUUAAAUAUAUGAAGUGUACUUGCCAUUUUUUGAAAAGGUUAGUGCUAUCAUAGGAUGUGUAAAUCUCCUUUUAUGAAAAAGAUGACAAGCAAAAUUAUGAUCCAAGUCAAGGUCUUAUAAAACAUUGACUUGGAUGUGCUUGCUUUUAAAGUAAUUUUAGUUUAAUCCCUCAUUUGAGAUUCGGUCCUUAUUUAUGUACAAUGAUCAAGCUGAUCGUAUGUUUGAGUCAUUGAUGAAUGGACCAAUGGAAAUAAGGUCAAAUAUAGAAUUUUCUUCCCUUUGGAAUCACUGAAUAUUUUACACUCCACAUUACUGUUUUAUAGACUUUCAAUGACUAGAUAAAUAGGGCCCUAGGUUUUACAUUUAUGAAGAUAUUAAUAAAUGAGCAGAGAUAUGUCCAAAUUGCCUAGAGAAAAAGGCUGUAAAUGGAGAUAUAACUAUGGGAAAUAUAGAAACAAAGAAAUCUGCCCAACCCUAGUGAGCACUAGUGGCAAAAGAACAAAAUCAGCUUUGAUCAAGUCUCAGAUUUUGGAUUGGUCAGGAUGGAACCAAAACCUAAGCAGGAAAAAAACAACAACAACUGUUUUUCUGGGUAUUUUGCCAUGAUUCUCCCAAAUGUAUGGCAUUUUCCAAAAUUCACCUCUGCAGUUUAUGCACCUCACUUCUAAGACUGUACUUUUCUCUCCACGACACUUUUUUCCAUGUAAUCUUUGGAGGUUCUUUAAACCUGAAACUGUUGAUAAUGGACUAUUCUAUUGUACAACACUCUGUGGAGCCUACUAGAGUCUUCAGUCGGUUCUGGUUAAUGUAACACUGUGUUCCUGAAGCACUGGAUGACAGAAACUGCUCAUGUCAGUAAAGGUUGGCACAGGCCAAGCUAGAAAAUCUUCCGUAGGGUUUUGUGGAAUCCAUCAGUAUGACAUUUGCUACCCGUGGUUACCAUUUACAGAGAGUGGCAGAGAAUGCCUGAGUAACAGAAAAUAGGAAUGGCAACUCAGGUGAAGGAACAAUUGAAUUCAACUAUGGUGUUGGAAAAAGCUUGGGCUUUGGAGCCAAAUAACCCUGGGGCAGACUCCCAGGCCUUGGUCAAAGAUACUAAACACACUGACUUUCCGUUUUCUCUUUCCUUUCUAAAAUAAGGGUAAGAUGCCAAGACAGAUACUUUCAGGGCUUCACCUACAUCUCCUGAGUCCCUGUACAUGUGACUGAUGGGUACAUGGGUAUGGAAGGAUGGUUUCCUUGUUCCUGGGGGGCACAUACCUAAACUUAUUCUUUGGGUUCCUCUGCGGGUCAAGCUAAAGCAGCCUUCUGAGGGACUUGGCCUGAAAUCAUGCCUGUGGUUGGUUUAUUUCCUAUCCAUGUCCUGGUUUCUGAGAGCAAUUCCUUAAUACAUCAUUUGCAUGUGACUCUUCACCUCAACAUCUACUUGUGGGAACCCAACCUAAGCAGAUGUCUACUUUAGAAGUUUUUACUGUGGAUUAGAAACAACAGGUCUAAGUCUUCUGCCAGAAUAUAAAGGGAAACAUAAAUACUAAUGAUUAUUACUCUCUUAUUUAGUCUUAUUGAUUUUUUUCAUUUCUUCUUAUGUUUUUAUUCUGCCUAUCUCUGUGAGUAUUUACCUUUCAGAGAUUCAGUUUCUAAAAUCCUCAGUUGUAUAUACUUUUUAGGCUAGAAAAGUGAUUUCCAUAGCAAAUCCUAUGAGUGACCAUAUGUUCCUAUGCUGACAAAUCUCUGGUAGUCUUGAAUCCACUUGCUGAUCAGCAUGCAAUGGAGGCAGUGGUAGUUGUUAAAUUAUUGUUUCAAUUCAGUGGCUAUGUUCUAUGGUGGCCACUGGUUAAGAAGAUAGGUUUUCAAGUCAUAUGGGGAGCUGGAUCUGAAUUUGUACACUUUCUGAGUCCCUUAAAAUGUGAGAUAUCUCUCAAAGUCCUCAUAUUUUAAUCAAAUGAGAGCUCAGGGCCAUGCUUGAUAUGUGUUAAGUGCUAAACAGUUUUGUCAUUUUUUUCUCCAUUGUUACUACUGCUGUAUUUUACUUCCCUUCUAAUAUCCCCAUAGCAUAUUGCAUUCACGUUUUGAUGAGGUUCUUACAGAUAGGCUGCUAUUCCAAUAGGAAAUUCAUUCUCUGUCCAAUGUGUUUAGUGACCUUCUAUAAAAGGAAAAAUUUUUUGGUUUGUUUUGUUUUUAGCUAAUAGAUACAUUUUUGAAUCUCUCAGCUCUUAGUUAUUGAGUUACUGUAUUGUAGGAGAGGAAAAAUUAUUUUCCCUCUGCCAUUUGUAAUUCUUGUCUGAGAACCUUGAAAUAAAAGCCAGAUGAGCAAGAGAAAGAAAUUUAUUAACAUGAAUACCUCAGGUACACAUGGGAAAUAUCCAGGUUAAAGUGAGUAACUCAAAACGGUAGCUUAGAACUCCAGCUUAUAUAGCAUCUUUAACAAGGAACAAUCACUCUGUGGGGAAAUGGCAGGACAAAGGAAAGCAGUUUUAGGCUUUCAGGGGUGGAGGUCAAAGCAAGUUAGUAAGGUUUGCUACUUAGAUUCCUCUAAUGCCAUCGCUAGGCUAAUAGAUCUAAAGUUGUCUCCACUGAUUAACUUAUAAUUCUUCCUGAAAGAGGGGAGGAGGGAUACCUUUGUUAAUUUACGUUCUUUUAGGCAAGUGGGGGAAGCAGGGGGCUCUUCAUGUGUCUGAUUCUUCUUAAUUGCUUUCAGCUCAAAAUAAUGCUCUCCCAAAUUGGAAAAUUUGGGGGUGGCAUAUUCUGUGAUGCUUCAGUUUUUAGGGUCACAUCAAGAAAAAAGUUCAGCUUGCACUGACAAAUGCAUUACUGUAGUAAUGCCGUUAACCUAGAAUUUUGCGGAAUGCUAUGUAUAACUUCAUUAAAAAA